AGAACUUUCUUGGCCUUUUGGCUAAGAUCAAGUAGAGUAUCUGUUCUUAUCAGUUUAAUAUCUGAUAUGUCCACUAUCCGAGGACAUUAAAUGGAUUUUUGGAGUAGGGAGUUGGAAUAGGAGCUUAUUCUGUCCACUUCAUGCCUUUACCUGGUAUUGAAGUACCUCCAGGAAUAGUGCAUCCCCU
rnacentral:snRNA from 1 species